rfam:Glycine soja cultivar W05 scaffold599_44, whole genome shotgun sequence.
AUCUUUGAUCUGGGUGAGAGAAACGCGUAUCGAUGAGAUUCAGGGCUUACUAGUUCACACAGUUGCAUCCACACACCAAUUGUUUUAACAAUUUGGAGUGAGUGUGUUUUGAUCGAUACGGGUCCUCUCACCUAGACUAGAGUUGC